AAAAACCACCCACAAGACAGAUGUCUCAUCCAUUCAUUUUCAAAUCGUCGAACUAGGAUCACAUAAACAGUACCUUUCCCAUUUUUAUUUCAACAUUUAAGAUUCACAGAUGGAGAAUUUAUAUUCAAGGACAUCUCCAUGGCAGACAGUACCAAAGCAUACAGACAUUUCACAAUGGUCGACAAACUGAUUUUAGUUACCAGAAUUAUACGUUUGUAUAAUUGUGAGUUUUUACCCCCUAGAGAUAGCAUUCUCAUCAAGUUUUAUUCAAACAAUUUUUUAGUUAAGUAUUUUACUGGCCUCAUUAGAAGAAAUACCUGAAAAGGAAUACAUGGUACAGGCAUAAACAAAUUUCAUUUACAUUUUCUAUUGAUGAUUUUUCCCCUGUUGGCAUUUAUCAGAUAUAAAUUAUAUUGUACACAUCAACGAUAAACUAUUAGGCCAGUGUGAACCAUUAACGAUAUCGUAUAACAUAUUCAACCAGUCAAUGGACGUAUAUUUUAUUCAUAAGGCUUUAUUUUAUAUCACCAAAUUCUAAAUAAACCACUAAAUGUGGUUUCCAAAUUGUCAAUCUAUCAUACAAAUCUACUCAAUUCUUUUGAACACUGAAUUUUAUUAGUAUGGGAUAACUUUAAUUUUCAUGGAUUAUAUACCAAAUCUUAAACCACCAAAGCACUUUGUUGCAACUACUAAGGAACAAUAUUGCCUAAAAACUUAGUAAAACAGACAAUGCAUUAGUCACCUACUUUUGUUUGUUUUUAGUUUUCUGAAAUUAUUCAAACACUUCUUCCAGAUUGCAAGGAAUACUUCAGAAUAUUGCUUACAAUUUUAUAUAUUCUAUAUAUAGGAAUAAGGUUACAAUGAUAUUUCUGUCCUUCCUCAUCAAUCAAAAUAAUUUUCUUCUAAUUUUUAAAAAUAUUUUCAUAUAUAUAUAUAUAUAUAUACACACAUUCCUUUAAGGCUUACAAAGCACUUUGCUCACAACCAGAAGUUGACAACUAGCAUUUCCAUUUUACAAAUGAGAAAACUGAUACACAAAAAGGUGACUUGCCCAUGGUCAGUAUCAGAGCUCAAAAUUGAACCCAGAUUAUAGGAUCAUAUAUUUAGAUUUCAUAAUCCUAAAUCAGCCCUCUCAUUUUACAGAUGAGAAAAGUAACUGUACAUCUAGUACUUUCGCCAUUACAUGGUACGGCUUCUUCUAUUUAAAAAAAGGCAGGAAACCAUAGCAUCUUUAAGAGCUUGACAAAGUAGGUGGUUUUCUCUAAAAGACAUUUUGUACUUGUAAAGCAUAAAAGGACACAAAGCAUCAAAGAAUUUUUUGUUACAUUAAUAACAGAUUUGCACACUGGAGUAAUAGUGCAAUUUAUUGAGGCCUAACUGUCAAACAUUAGUUCUUGAAAUAACAUACUUACUUCUAGGGCCAAAUUUUAUUUGCCAAGAGAUUUUACUUUGAAGAAUUAUGAAUAAGGUAAUGCUUCCCUUAAACUUGUUCCAAAACCCUAACCCACAAACAAUAAUAAAAUUAACUAUGUAUUGACUAUUCAGCAGGUGUAUUUAUCAUUUUAACAGGUAUAAAGUCAUUACUAAUAUCAAUGCAACUACUUGUACAUCUAAUUGUCUUAACACACUGUUCAACACCUAGAUUAUAGAUGGAUUUCAUACUACCUUCACAACAGCAAAGUAUAUUAAUAUGUUAGCUUACAAAUCUAUUUAAAGCUUUGAAAUAUACCACCUCAUUAUUCCUUACAAUCAAAUUCAAGUCCACUCUUGUUAGUUAAAUCAUAUUUCAGAUAAGUUAAUAAAGUUAACUGUUUCCCUCCAAAAACUGGGCAAAAUUUCAAUUUAGAUAAAUACAAUUUGAAUCUUUUGGUCUUUAUCAUAGGUACUAUUAUAUAUCAAGAAUUUCCUUAUUCUCCUAAAGAUGUAUUUAAUCAAAAGAUACCCUAAGAAGUCAUCUAAAAAGUACAAAAUCUCAAUUAAAAAGAGUAACUUUCAGUUAAGAAUCAGUAUUCAUUGGCCAGUUAGUCUUAAAAUUAAGCACCUAUUAUAAAAUGUUUUCUGUACUGCAAAACAAAUACACAUAAUAGGAAGAGUGAAUGCGUUCCAAGCAUUUGCAGAAAAUCAAUGAAAACACUAAUGUCCAAGCUGGUUAUUGGCAGUAGCCAUUUUGUUACCAAAUACAAAUCCAAUUUGUCCACAAUUUAUUCUUAAAAGGUUUUCAAAAAAAUAACAUGAAUAAAUCAUAAUCACAUGGUUAUAUGAAUUGAUCUUAAGUGCCACCAUAGUAAAAGAAUCUCAUUUUCCAUUGUCCUACCUGAAUAUAUAUUUUCUAUUCUUAAAAUGUGAUCAAAUUUGGAUCAUUCAAAAUAAAAGUAUUCCUAUCUCUAUUUGCCUUCAAUCUAAAGCUGAGUGACCAUUAGUCUCCCUAUCUUUUCUAACUAUUCAGUUAUACUUUCUUUUAAUACACACAAGAUUUUCACAACUAAUUUAUGGUUUCACACACUCCUAUGCUCAGAUAUUACAGCUAUUAUAUCAAACUAUAUGUACAUUUUCUAUUUCACCAUUUCUGUGCCUUCCUCUUCAGACAUAAUAGGGUAAAGGAGCUAAAAGCUAAGUCUAGGUCAAUCAAAUCCACUUAGGUGCAUGUUGGCACUUAAGUACAUGGCCAAAACAAUAUCAUUCCCAACAGAUUAAUAUGGGAGAAACCAUAGAAAACAAGUAUCAGCCUAUUAGUAUAAAAGUUUACUAUAAUAAUAUAGCAACAUGGUUCAGCAAAAUUAUUUCUCUGAUGACAAAGUUUAUAUACUAUCAUACUCUCAGAUGGCAAAGUCUAUAUACUAUCCAUAUUUUCAGUAUCUAAAAUAAAAAGUUAGGACCAGUAAACUUUCUGGAUUUUUAUUAAAUCCUAGUCUGAGGUAAUUUAACAAUAAUAUCUGAUUUUACAGACAUCAUCCUAAAAUCUGUAAACAUCUUCCAAA
ensembl:lncRNA